AGACUUCAUACCAAAUGAGAAAAGCAGAAUUCACACUUUGUUUAAGCCACAACCAGAUUGCAAUCAACACUGUUGCACAAUGAACUUCUCUGCACACAUCCUGGAAGAACCAGAAUCCUAGGAGCAUGGAAGACUUAAUUCAUUCAACAGUAACCACCUCUUUUUAGCCUAAGACUUUGGCAGCCGAACAACAGAACAGGAAUUAUGUCAGCUUUUCUGCUUAGCAUGAGCUCUGCCCCAGAACCAAUGACAUAAAAUACGUAUGUUUGCUUUCCCUGCCACAAAGUUGCGACACAUUAUCAAAGCUUUACAAAGUCACUCUAUCUUAGGACACCCCUAGACAACUUGUUUCCAUCUUACUUCUGGGACAAAAAUAUUUACUGUAUCCUGCUUUCAUUGUCUUUGUGAAUAUUACAUUAAAUGUUGACAUGUGCUUGGCAAUUCA
rnacentral:lncRNA from 1 species